UACGUAGGGAGCAAGCGUUGUUCGGAUUUACUGGGCGUAAAGGGCGCGUAGGCGGCGCGGUAAGUCACUUGUGAAAUCUCUGAGCUUAACUCAGAACGGCCAAGUGAUACUGCAGUGCUAGAGCGCAGAAGGGGCAAUCGGAAUUCUUGGUGUAGCGGUGAAAUGCGUAGAUAUCGGGAGGAACACCAGUGGCGAAGGCGACUACCUGGCCUGUUUCUUGACGCUGAGGCGCGAAAGCUAGGGGAGCAAACGGG
rnacentral:rRNA from 1 species